rnacentral:lncRNA from 1 species
AGAUCCAGGUCUGACUUCAAAGGGGAAGCACUGGAGAAGUGGGGAAGGCAGCCGCUACAGGGUGGAGGGAAGCCAGCUAUGGCGUGUUAACAGGCAGGCUGUCGCCAUGGAAACUGGUUUAAACCUUCAGGGGUUCCAGAAACCUGGAACCUGCCUCUGAGCUGUCCCACCAGAGGGUCCAGGAGCUGCAGUAAGAGAGUCCACCAGGUGCUGUUGUAUGUUAACUCUGGGCUCACUGGUAACUUCUCAGCAUAGCUGCCCAGAGAAAGCCCUCAGGCACUGUGGCAUCUUCUGCAUUCAGGUGAAAGCCUUGGGAACUAAGGAAAAGGUGAGUGGCAAGGGACCAUGGGUCAGUCAACAACUGUGUUCAAUAAAGAUGACUCGGGGAGGGAAUUAGAGAAGCACACCCAGAGAUGUAUGACUGAUGACCUCAUUCAGUGCUUGCUAGUUUAUGAGGAAGUUCUAAGAAAGCAGAGGAGAGAGAAAGACAGACCAGCAAGGAAUAAUCCCGUGAUAGGAGGAAGUGUAACAUAGUGCUGAAUGCAGAGGCAGCAGACCCAGGCACCAAAGCCUCGCAAGAGAACACUUGCUCUGAGAAGUAAUUUCAUGUCGCCACCAAAGAUCCAUGCUCAUGUUCCAGCAAUGUGCAAUGGCUAGCAUGUAAUUAGAAUUUGAUAAAUAUUUGCUAAGGGCACUGGACCUUUUAUUUCUAUUAAUUCUUAACGUGACUGGCUAACUUUCUUUAACCAACUAUAUCAGUUACUAUAACUGGCUAACUUCCUUUAACCGACUAAUUACUACAUCAGUAUUAAGACCAGAACCUGAAAUUGAAUAUUAGAAAAAGCCUGACUGAUAUUUCAUGGAGGAAUAACUAACACUUCAGAGAAGAAUGCUGGCUUUAUUUUAAAUACAGGCAAGACUGUUAUAGGCCUCAUAAGACCAGUUUCUUCAUUUGAACAAAAAUAGAUUGGUUUGUAACAAACAUAUCAUGAGUGGCUUUUGAUUAAUGAGCUAGUUUUGGGAGCUGGGUAUGAGAUACAGCUCAUGUCCAAUAAAUAUCCUUAGUGGCAAAUGGACUAUUAAAUAAAUAUAUAUCAUAAUAGUGAAAACUGCCAUCUACUAGAAGCCCUAAAACCUCUCGAACUGACUUUGCUGCAAUAUAUAUAUAUAUAUAUUAUAUAUAUAUAUUGCAAUAUAUAUAUAUAUAUAUAUUGCAGCAAAUAUAUGUAUACACACACACACACACACACAAAGUAUUAUUACUCUCAUUUUUAUGUAUGAGUUCAUUUAUUUCAAUGAAGCCAAAUGAUUUCAGAAAGGCUACAUUAAUUGUUAGGAAGGGUGCAGAACCAAGAGGCACACUUGAGUUUCUAAAUUCCCAUGCCCCAAAGUGGAAGUACAAGGUCACAGAGGCAGAGGCUUAAUGAUGUCUCUGGUGGCAGAGAACACUGCUGAAUGCUGCAAUGUACCAAUGAGAGUACUAUCGGAUGGGAGGAGCAGCAGUCCAGAAAAUUAUAUAGCCUUAGCUAAGAGCAAGGUACUCAGUGCUCCAAUCAUUUGACUAUUCAGGAUAACCCAGUUCUGGGGCCCCAGGGUGGAAGUGGGUGAGCCUGGAAUUGGCUGCUGUCCCAGCAGAUGAAUGGGGCAGAAAUUUGUCUCCAGUAGCUGUGCUGGUGGCUAAAAUCCAGGCUGUGAUACACUUAAUCUAAUUGUAUUUGCCAUAUUUAAUUCUCAAAACAUCAGCCAUCUGUUUCCUGGAUUCCUGACAACAUGGCUGCCUGGUCUGUUUGCAAGCACAAGAGUGAGCUAUCCGGUGGUCUUUUCCCCACUCUGAUCUACAAAACCCACCAAGGCUUGCUACGGUGGCAUAGAACGGCAGCUAACCAGCACUGCUACCGUUUCUUCUCAGGUGCAAACAAGCUUCCUCGUCGUUAGUCCACUCCCCAUACCCUUCAGCCUCCUCGGGAGAGAGGGGCGUGGAGGAGUUCUAAGCACUUGAGCCUAACUUGUCUUACUCAAUCUGCUCAUUUCUCACACAAGAUUCAGACUGAGAUCCAAAAUGAUUCGAAUGACACCCGAAAUUUUGAUUAAAAAAAAGAACUGAUUUUAAUUAUAAAUUACGAGAGGAGUUGCCCACAGAGGCCGGAGGUGUUGGAUCUUCUGGAACUACAGUUGCUAUAAGAACCCGGUAUGGAACCCUUCCUGAAGAGCAGUAGAUACUCUUUACUGCUAAGCCCUAUGCAGCCUCCCAAAUUCUGACUUUUACGAUUGCUUUUCAGCUGGACUUUGUGUGCACACCAAAACACAUCCUGUAUUACUUUUUCUUUUUUAUAUUUGAUUUUAUUAAGAGUGCUCACACUUUGACCACUCUUACCGGCUUAAUUUUGGUGACACAUUAUAAUCUGUGCUUUCUCCGUAGGGAACUAACUGUACAGAUUUCUGUCACUCUAGGUGAACGUUCCUUCAUUUUCUCACAACCACAGAGGCUGUACUAGUUGUUAAUAUAUUUGUAAUUUGGGUACAGUGGGCCAG